AUUGAACGCUGGCGGCAUGCCUUACACAUGCAAGUCGAACGGCAGCACGGGUGCUUGCACCUGGUGGCGAGUGGUGAACGGGUGAGUAAUACAUCGGAACGUACCUUAUCGUGGGGGAUAACGCAGCGAAAGUUGCGUUAAUACCGCAUACGCCCUGAGGGGGAAAGCGGGGGACCGUAAGGCCUCGCGCGAUUAGAGCGGCCGAUGUCUGAUUAGCUUGUUGGUGAGGUAAAAGCUCACCAAGGCGAUGAUCAGUAGCUGGUCUGAGAGGACGAUCCGCCACACUUGGACUGAGACACGGCCCAGACACCUACAGGAGGCCUGUGUUGGUCAUUGUCACCAAUGGAGGCAACCCUGAGCCAGCAAUGCCGCGUCAGUCAAGAAGGCCCUCCGGUUGUAAAUCUCUUUUGUCAAGGAUGAAACAGCAGCUCUAACACAGUCUGCGAUUGACGGUACCGGGAGAAUAAGCACCGGCUACCUGCGUGCUAGCCGCCGCAGUAG
rnacentral:rRNA from 1 species